UACGAAGGGGGCUAGCGUUGCUCGGAAUCACUGGGCGUAAAGCGCACGUAGGCGGAUCUUUAAGUCAGGGGUGAAAUCCUGGAGCUCAACUCCAGAACUGCCUUUGAUACUGGGGAUCUCGAGUCCGGGAGAGGUGAGUGGAACUGCGAGUGUAGAGGUGAAAUUCGUAGAUAUUCGGAAGAACACCAGUGGCGAAGGCGACUAACUGGACAUGUAUUGACGCUGAGGUGCGAAAGCGUGGGGAGCAAACAGGG
rnacentral:rRNA from 1 species